rnacentral:piRNA from 1 species
UCCAACAUGACAGUGUUCUCCUCCGAGGA